AUUGAACGCUGGCGGCAGGCCUAACACAUGCAAGUCGAGCGGUAGAGAGGUGCUUGCAUCUCUUGAGAGCGGCGGACGGGUGAGUAAUGUCUAGGAAUCUGCCUGGUGGUGGGGGAUAACGUUCGGAAACGGACGCUAAUACCGCAUACGUCCUACGGGNGAAAGCGGGGGAUCUUCGGACCUCGCGCCAUUAGAUGAGCCUAGGUCGGAUUAGCUAGUUGGUGAGGUAAUCGGCUCACCAAGGCGACGAUCCGUAACUGGUCUGAGAGGAUGAUCAGUCACACUGGAACUGAGACACGGUCCAGA
rnacentral:rRNA from 1 species